rnacentral:rRNA from 1 species
AAAGGUAGCCUAUUCAUUAGUCUUUUAAUUGAGGACUGGUAUGAAAGGUUUGACGGAAGUUGGCUGUCUCAGAACCUAAAAUUAUGAACUUUAUUUUUAAGGAAAAGAGCUUAAAUGCUAGCAAAGGGACGAGAAGACCCUAUUAAAUUUUAUUAUUGGUAGAAUAAAAGUUUUAUUUGUAUAAAAUUUUUAUUUAAAAAAUAAUUUUGCUGGGGUGGUAAAUAACUAACAUUAUUGAUUUUUUAAAAAUUUAAUUAACUUUAGUGAGAACCCCCAAGGGGGAAAUUAAAAAUAAAUUACUAUAGGGAAAACCGCCUAAUGGUUUUUGAAAAUUCAUGUUGACAAAAAUGUUUGGGACCCCCAUGUUGGAUUAAGGAAUCUUAUUGGGGCAAUAAUUGAAAAAAAGGGGCUGUUCCACCCUUA